CGGGGCGUAGCGCAGCCUGGUAGCGCACUUGCCUUGGGCGCAAGGGGUCGGAGGUUCAAAUCCUCUCGCCCCGACCA
rnacentral:tRNA from 1 species